rnacentral:rRNA from 1 species
AACGAACGCUGGCGGCAUGCCUAACACAUGCAAGUCGAACGAGACCUUCGGGUCUAGUGGCGCACGGGUGCGUAACGCGUGGGAACCUGCCCUUAGGUUCGGAAUAACUCCCCGAAAGGGGUGCUAAUACCGGAUAAUGUCUUCGGACCAAAGAUUUAUCGCCUUUGGAUGGGCCCGCGUUGGAUUAGCUAGUUGGUAGGGUAAAAGCCUACCAAGGCGACGAUCCAUAGCUGGUCUGAGAGGAUGAUCAGCCACACUGGGACUGGGACACGGCCCAGACUCCUACGGGAGGCAGCAGUGGGGAAUAUUGGACAAUGGGCGAAAGCCUGAUCCAGCAGUGCCGCGUGAGUGAUGAAGGCCUUAGGGCUGUAAAGCUCUUUUACCCGGGAUGAUAAUGACAGUACCGGGAGAAUAAGCUCCGGCUAACUCCGU